rnacentral:lncRNA from 1 species
UGGGAAACUCACCCUCGGAGGUUGGCAUCGUGGGGCAGAUGAUGGCAGACAGGAGCUGGGACGUCGUCCCUGACCCUGGGCAUCUUUCGGAUCAACGAGUCUGCCAAAAGGAGUGAUCACUGUUGACAUCAACAUCGCCAAGAUGGGCCUGCAUAACCUCCACUUCAAGAUCACCAUCAUCCCCAGGACCCUGUUUUGUUUUCGGGUUCCUUCUGCAUGAACCUGAACCCGUUCAGCUAGUACUUGAUGGUCUGGAUGUCCCUGAAGCUGGCUCACCUGAAGGACUUCAUGUCAGCCCUUCCUGAUAAGCUGGACCACGAGUGCCCAGAAGGUGGAGAGAACCUCAGUGUGGUUGUGAGGAUUAAGAAAACGAAGGUCUAGAAUGGUGCUCAAGAAAGGUGGUUAACAACUAUGAGGAGGAUCUUUAUUUGGAACCAGCCCUGCCCUACUGCAGCAUUGAGACAACUCUAGCAAGCUGGCUCGGCCGCCUUGAAAACAUCCAUCAUGCUGGAAGGCAUUUGUUCAUCCCACGAAAUGGCCCUAUGGGGACCUAAUCACCUUGACCAACUGGACCAA